AUUGAACGCUGGCGGCAGGCCUAACACAUGCAAGUCGAACGAGUGGCGGACGGGUGAGUAAUGUCUGGGAAACUGCCCGAUGGAGGGGGAUAACUACUGGAAACGGUAGCUAAUACCGCAUACCAUCGGAUGUGCCCAGAUGGGAUUAGCUAGUAGGUGGGGUAACGGCUCACCUAGGCGACGAUCCCUAGCUGGUCUGAGAGGAUGACCAGCCAAACUGGAACUGAGCCACGGUCCAGACUCCUACGGGAGGCAGCAGUGGGGAAUAUUGAACAAGGGGCGAAGGCUUGAGGCAGCCAGGCCGGGUGUAUGAAGAAGGCCUUGGGGUGUUAAGGUACUUUCAGCGAGGAGGCGUUACUCGCAGAAGAAGCACCGGCUAACUCCGUGCAAGCAGCGGCGUAAUUC
rnacentral:rRNA from 1 species